rnacentral:rRNA from 1 species
UACAGAGGGUGCAAGCGUUAUCCGGAUUUACUGGGUUUAAAGGGUGCGUAGGUGGGUUGGUAAGUCAGUGGUGAAAUACUUUCGCUUAACGAAGGAACUGCCAUUGAUACUACCAGUCUUGAAUACAGUGGAGGUAGGCGGAAUGCGUCAUGUAGCGGUGAAAUGCUUAGAUAUGACGCAGAACACCAAUUGCGAAGGCAGCUUGCUACACUGUUAUUGACACUGAGGCACGAAAGCGUGGGGAUCAAACAGG